rnacentral:lncRNA from 1 species
CUUGAUGGGGAUUCCUCCCCUCUAUUUUUUCAGAAUGCGGUUAGGUUAGCUGUUGGCUCUAGUGAUGGGUGCUCUCCACUUUUUCAUCAAUGAUGUGCUACUCUUAUUAAGCCCUGGGUGCGGAUUUGCUGAUUGUGUAUUGACUUAUAGUUGAAUCUUUAUCUCCAGAGAAGUGGUGCUUUUCUAGGUAUUUCUAAACGCUCUUUUCUUAUUAUUGGCCUCUAUCGAAAUUGAGGUUGCGGAGGUAGCGUCAAGCUCCUAUUGCUAUCUAGUGUUUAGAGUUGUCGAUAAUGGGUUACAGCAAAUGUAAUCUUUCUAUCUUUCAACAAUAAUAAUAAUAAUAAAAAGGAACCAUUAAACAGUUGAAGAGAAAAAAGAACUAAGAGAAGAAAUCUAUCAACAAAUUGCUGUCGACAUAUGCAAAAGUAAUGCAUGCGUUUUGAAAAAUACAGACAUUAUCCAAUCUCCUUCUUACCGUGAAAACUAGGCAAAAUACUUCAAGGAAGAAGUAUAGCUUGUACAUUGAAAUUACUUACCCC